UACGUAGGAGGCAAGCGUUGUCCGGAAUUACUGGGUGUAAAGCGCGUGUAGGCGGCAGGCCAAGUCUGUGGUGAAAUCGCUCGGCUCAACUGGGCGGGGUCCAUGGAAACUGGUCAGCUGGAGGACGGUAGAGGUGAGUGGAAUUCCCGGUGUAGUGGUGAAAUGCGUAGAGACGUCGGAGGAACGACCCGUGGCGAAGGCGGCUCACUGGGCCGGUCCUGACGCUGAGACGCGAAGGCGUGGGGAGCGAACGGG
rnacentral:rRNA from 1 species